CUUCGCAUCCACGCUGGCAAUUUGAUCAGGCAAAUUGGAACCUUUACUCACACCUAGCUGUUUUUAGAGAGGUUCCUUCUUCGUCCUCCAUCGAUGAGCUUUUACACCUCUUCUCGUCCUCCGUUUUAACCGCAGCUUCUAAUUGUAUACCCCAAACUUCGGGCAGGCAUUCUUAGAAAUGCGUGCCUUGGUGGUCUCAUGCUUGUGCUCGUGCAGUACGUUUGAAACGCGCUGCAUGGGGCAGGUACCGGUACAAUAGAACCACAGAGAGACUUCUUGAUUUUAAGCAGAAGCGUGCGAUCACUCGCUGUAUCAUCCGUGACGCUAAACGCACUUGCUGGCGAGAUUAUGUCUUCACCAUCACCUCUGCUUCCUCUAUGAGUGCAGUCUGGAAAAAAGUAUGAAAACUGAGUGGUAAAUAUUCUCCUGACCCGGCUCCUGUUCUGCAGGUUGCCUGUGUUGAUAUAGCAAACCCACUAGAUGUUGCCAAUGAAAUUGGCAAUCAUCUGGUCCGUAUUUCUCAGGGACUCCAUCUAUGCCCCUCAUUUCUUUCCUCAAAGUCUGCCAGAGAGUUAGCACCCUUGGACUUUUCUUCUCUCAGAGAAGAACAGUAUAAUGUGCCUUUUACACUUCAAGAACUGGAGGCAACACUCUCAGCUUGCCAAUCAUCGGCAGCUGGGCCCGACGACAUUCAUACUCGUAUGCUAAAACAUUUACAUCAGUGAGCCCUUGCAGUCCUAUUAUGCCUUUACAAUCUUAUUUGGUCACAAGGAGUUCUUCCACAGCUGUGGAAAUCCGCCAUUGUUCUCCCUUUCCGCAAACCAGGCACUACGGGACAUGAAGCCUCCCACUAUCAUCCCAUUGCUCUUACCAGUGCAGUUUGCAAAGUGAUGGAACACCUAGUAAAUAGACGUUUAGUGUGGUAUUUAGAGCCACCAACAGUCUCUCCACUCGUCAAUAUGGCUUUCGUAAGGGACGUUCUACCAUAGACCCCUUACUACGCUUGGAUACGUAUGUUCGUAAUAACCACUCAGUUAUUGCCAUAUUUUUUGACCUUGAGAAGGCAUAUGACAACUUGGAGGUAUAAUAUUUUAGCCCAAGCCCACUCCUUAGGCCUUCGAGGCAAUCUACCAUCCUUCCUUAAGAACUUUUUAACUGACAGGCAUUUCCGUGUUCAGGUUAAUAAUGUGCUCUCCCCGGACUUUAUUCAAGCUGAAGGUGUCCCCCAGGGAUGUGUUCUGAGCACAACACUUUUUCUCCUUGCUAUUAAUGAUUUGGCCUCUAGUCGUCCAUCAAAUAUUUGGUCAUCACUCUAUGUUGAUGACUUCGCUAUUGCCUGUGCAGGCGCUGACUGUCACCUCAUUACAGUUUCUCUCCAGCAUGCAGUCGACCAUGUUUCCAAUUGGGCCACCACACAUGGGUUUAAAUUUUCAGCACUAAAACCCACCAAAUUACUUUCACUAGACGCUCUGUCAUCUCCGAUCAUCCUUUGUACCUCUAUGGCUCCCGUAUCCCUGAACGUGAUACAGUCAAGUUUCUGGGCCUCCUCUUUGACCGUAGGUUAUCCUGGAAACCUCACAUUACCUCUCUGAAGGCAACUUGUCACAGCCGGCUGAACCCUCUUAAAACCCUUGCUCAUCUUUCAUGGGGAGCUGAUCGUCGAACCCUCCUUCGCCUACAUUCCACCCUCAUUUUAUCGAAACUUGAUUAUGGUGACCAGAUCUAUUCAGCGGCAUCUCCUGCUACUCUCUCUAGCCUUAAUCCCAUUCAUCACCAAGGAUUACGUUUAUGCCUCGGUGCUUUUCGCUCUUCCCCUGUCGAGAGCCUUUAUGCAGAAGCGAACGUUCCAUCCUUAUCCGAUCGCCGUGAUGCCCAUUGCCUUCGCUACUAUGUACGCUCUCAUGAUCGCAAUCCUUCCAUUUAUAGAAUGGUCACUGAUAUUAGUAGACAUUCUUUAUUUGUUCGCCGCCCCUGUUUACUCCGUCCCUUCUCUCUUCGCCUUCAUUCGCUCUUGUCUUCUCUUCAAUUACCACCUUUCUAUGUUCAUGUAGCAUCUCACUUUUCCCUACCCCCCUGGGAAGUUCCAGCCGUUCGAGUCUGUUCUUUCUCCCUUGCUCGAAAGCCCAACUGUCUACGGUCGCUUCUCGCUCUCUUUUUCUUGACCACUUUCACUCUUUCUCAUGCCAUUGCUGUGUACACAGAUGGCUCUAAGUCUUCUGACAGCGUAGGAUUCGCAGCAGUGUUUCUGGACAGCGUCGUACGAGGGCAUUUACUAUCUUCGGCUAGUAUUUUUACUGCUGAAUUGUAUGCCAUCCUUGCAGCACUUACCUGUAUUGCAUCUAUGCCUGUGUUAUCAUUUGUGGUUGUCUCAGACUCCCUUAGUGCUUUACAGGCUAUACAGAAAUUUGAUACACCUCACCCCUUAGUCCUCCGUAUCCAACUUUGGCUACGCCGCAUCUUUACCAAGCAUAAAGAUAUUGCUUUUUGUUGGGUCCCUGGUCAUGUUGACGUACAGGGCAAUGAACAGGCAGACACUGCUGCGCAGUCAGCAGUACAUGACCUACCGUUUCAUAUAGAGGUAUUCCAUUUACGGACUAUUUUGCUGCAAUAUCUUCCCACCUUCACACCCGUUGGCAACAACGUUGGUCUACUAUGCUCGGCAACAAACUUCAAUCUAUUAAACCGAGUAUAGGUUACUGGCCGUCUUCUUAUCACCAGUGUCGAGGUUGGGAGACUACUCUCUCCCAUCUUCACAUUGGCCAUACUCGUCUUACUCAUGGAUAUCUCGUGGAGAGGCGCCCUGCUCCUCUCUGUGAGAAUUGCCAAGCUCUAUUAUCAGUCAGCCACAUUCUGUUGGACUGCCCACUUUAUCAACGAGCACGCAGAAUUUACCUCCGUCGUCGUCUUCGCUCCGCUGCUCUCUCUUUACCUUCCCUUCUCGCUGAUGGACCCACCUUUCAUCCGGGCUCUCUCAUUGACUUUUUGACAACAACUGACUGACUUCACAAAUUCUGAUACCUUCAGCCCUUUCUACCCUCUACCCCCUGCCCUGCUGUUUUCUGUAACCUACUGAUCAUCCCUCCUCCCUUCUGCCAUCCAAUACCCUCGCUUCCUUCCCUGCCCUGCAGCGCUGUAUAGCCCUUGUGGCUUAGCGCUUCUUUUUGAUUAUAAUAAUAACACGGUUCCGUUUGCAGGCGCGGAAAAAAUCUCCCCACCUCAAGCUGCUGCCUUGUUGUGGGUCAGCGGGGAAGACCUACUGCCAUCCCCUGACACCCCUAUCCCAGCCUUCAUGAAUGUGUUCAGUUCCAUUGUCUUAGGAGCUAGUUGUGUUUGUGAAUUGUUUUGAUCUUUUAAUUGCCAUAUCGUGUAUCUGCCAAGCAAUCAAGGCACCCAAUAGGCAUACGCGUAUUGCAGAAAGUAGCAAGAAAAGGUACGAGUGUUUAAGUCUUAGAAUUAAUGAAGAAGAUAGAGAUAUUAGAUAAGAGAUUGACACUUCAUUAAGGUCAUAGGCUCUUUGUACAGUUAAAAAGAAUGAGGUAAAUAUACGAGUUUGUGUGAUGACUUACUUGCCGACUUAUUUUACUGAUUUAAAGUUAGACUUUUUCACUGAAGAGGACCCUGACAAAUUUAGAAGCAGUGCUCUGAAAGUGUCUAGAGCAGCCAAUGCCUUACCGUACUGCAGGGUAAAAUAGAACAGAAAUCCAUUACAGAAUUUAUGCACACUUCAGUACCAGAACCGUUACCAUCCACCUCAGCCCAGUAGGGCCACAGCAUAACUCCUUCACAAUCAACAACAAACACCAGCACCCACAAUUUAUGGUAAGAAAUACUAUUAUUUCUGUUGCGUUUUAUCUCUACCAAACAUAAAGAUAUUGUUUUUUGUUGGGUCCCUGGUCAUGUCGACGUACAGGGCAAUGAACAGGCAGACACUGCUGCGUGGUCAGCAGUACAUGACCUACCAAUUUCCUAUCGAGGUGUUCCAUUUCUGGACUAUUUUGCUGCAAUAGCUACCCACCUUCGCACCCGUUGGCAACAACGUUGGUCAACUCUGCUCGGUAACAAACUUCAUUCUAUUAAACCGAGCAUAGGUUACUGGCCGUCUUCUUGUCAUCAGUGCCGAGGUUGGGAGACCACUCUCUCCCGCCUUCGCAUUGGCCACACUCGUCUUACUCAUGGGUAUCUCAUGGAGAGGCACCCUGUUCCUCUCUGUGAGCAGUGUCAAGUUCCAGUAUCGAUUAGCCACAUUCUGUUAGACUGCCCUCUCUAUCAACGAGCACGCAGAAUUUACCUCCAACGUCGUCUUCGUUCUACUACUCUUUACCUUCCCUUCUUGCUGAUGGACCUUCCUUUAAUCCUGACUCUCUCAUUGACUUCUUGACAACGACUGAUUUACUCCACAAACUCUGAUACUUUUCGCACUCCCCUCAGCCCUUUCUAGUUCAGUCUCUUGCUGCCCUUUACCCUUUCACCAUCCACUGCCCUGCUGUUAUCCGUAACCUAUUACUCAUCCAUCUCCCUUUUGCCACCUGAUGCCCUCGCUUCCUUCCUGCCCUGCAGCGCUGUAUAGUCCUUGUGGCUUAGCGCUUCUUUUUGAUUAGUCUUAAGCAGUAAAAAUAACAUAAUACAAUGAACUACAAUUACAUAUUCACUUAUUUUUGUAAGAUCUGGAGGUCUAAAAAAAAAAAAAGUUUGGGUUUUUUGGGGGGCUCCCAGGUAUAUAACCCUAUUUUUCCCACAAGUUCUUCGGUUUAACACGAAUUUACCUAACAUGGCAUUUUCAGGAAUGUAACCACCACGUAAUAUAACAAUCUACUGUAUUUAUUUUAGGAUAAUAAAAUGCAGUCUGACUAAUUUGAUGUUAUUAUAGGACUUAUUGUUAACAAAUAUAUAAAUAUGUACACAAUCUUGCUACAAACUAUUUCGCUGUCUUUUGUAACAAGAUACAAUAGGAAUCUUUACACAGCAUGGAAUUGUUAGCUUGAUGGGGGCAUCCCUGCCUUGGCUUGUGCUUUGUAGGACCUAACCAGCAUGGCCUAUUUCCUUAAUAUAAGACUUACAAAGUCAAAGAAUGCAGGCCACACUGUACCUGGAAUGAAUGCCUUAAAUGGUAUAUUGUCAGUACAAGACAAAGGAUAGUACAGUGUAGCCCCAGUUUUAUAGACUAGCCAGCUGGUGUCUUCAGUUGUAGACUCCUCUGGGAAAGGUAAAAAAUAUUUUGAAAUGACUGAUUCUGAAGAAUUACCCAUGUAACAAUAACACAUAGGUUGUCAGUCACACAUGCCGGUAGUCUGCCCCCAAACACAUCACAGAUAUAAUCUCUUGUCUCCAUUGCUACCUCAGUUACCUAACCAAAGGUCUUGCAUCAGUUAUAUUCAAGUACUGUUAUUGUUCAUUAGUAUAAAAAAAAAAAAGGCACAAGCCUUGAACACUUGUGUUUGCU